GCAAGUCGAGGGGUAACAGCGAGUGCUUGCACUCUGCUGACGACCGGCGCACGGGUGCGCACCGCGUAUGAAACCUACCAUUUACAGGGGAAUAGCCGUUGGAAACGAAGAUUAAUGUCCCAUAGUACCUUUUGUAGCAUUACAAGAUGGUUAAAGACUUCGGUCGGUAUAAGAUGGUCAUGCGUCCCAUUAGUUAGUUGGUAAGGUAACGGCUUACCAAGACCACGAUGGGUAGCGGCCCUGAGAGGGGGAUC
rnacentral:rRNA from 1 species